AUUGAACGCUGGCGGCAGGCCUAACACAUGCAAGUCGAGCGGAUGAGAGGAGCUUGCUUCUCGAUUCAGCGGCGGACGGGUGAGUAAUGCCUAGGAAUCUGCCUGGUAGUGGGGGACAACGUUUCGAAAGGAACGCUAAUACCGCAUACGUCCUACGGGAGAAAGCAGGGGACCUUCGGGCCUUGCGCUAUCAAAUGAGCCUAGGUCGGAUUAGCUAGUUGGUGAGGUAAUGGCUCACCAAGGCGACGAUCCGUAACUGGUCUGAGAGGAUGAUCAGUCACACUGGAACUGAGACACGGUCCUGACUCCUACGGGAGGCAGCAGUGGGGAAUAUUGGACAAUGGGCGAAAGCCUGAUCCAGCCAUGCCGCGUGUGUGAAGAAGGUCUUCGGAUUGUAAAGCACUUUAAGUUGGGAGGAAGGGUUGUAGAUUAAUACUCUGCAAUUUUGACGUUACCGACAGAAUAAGCACCGGCUAACUCUGUGCCAGCCGCCGCGGUAAUAC
rnacentral:rRNA from 1 species